AGGUUAAGCUGGAAAGGGCGCACGGUGGAUGCCUUGGCACUAGGAGCCGAUGAAGGACGGGGCAAACGCCGAAACGCUUCGGGGAGCUGUAAGCAAGCGUUGAUCCGGAGAUGUCCGAAUGGGGGAACCCACUGUCCGUAAUGGGGCAGUAUCCAUGCCUGAAUC
rnacentral:rRNA from 1 species